GUAGACAAAUUAAAAACAUGAUACGAAUAUACUCAAACAAAAUAGUGACAAAACUGAAUUCAUUUCUUUUGCGCCAAAACGCAAAAUCAAGGAGACAAUCAUUCGGCACUGACAUUAUUCACGAAGCAGCUUUCGUUAAAAUCUUGGAUGCUUAUUUUGAUAAACCACUCACCAUGGAAAAGCACCGUAACAAAGUGUCUCGAUCAUGUUACAUGCAGCAAAUUCCGGUUCACGAGGGAAAACCGAACUCAGUACGUUUACCGUGAACAGAAAGCACAAAGGCUGGAACAUACAUUUUUUGAAAGAUGGACCAUUAAGACAAAGAAUGUUGGACCAUUUUCUACCUUUCAUCACUAGCAUUAUCUAUGUGUACACUUCCAUUAUGUGAUGUACUUCCUUUCGAAAUAAAAAUAAUCUCAACUUUUUAAAAA